CGACAUGUGCCGCACUGCGCUGUUAUUCCACCCCAACUCUAUUACUCCACUCCUGUACACAAAAGUGUUUGAGGACAUAUGCACGUGAUGAGGGAAGAAGAAUCUCUUUUAAUCUGUCAAGUACCUUCCUUCUAAUCUGUCAAGUACCUUUACUUGCAGAAUGAGCGAAGUACCUGGUAUCAGGAUCAGAUGCCUUUCCUGCCUUUAUCCGUCUAAAAGCUUAACCAAGUGAACAGAAUUGUAAGAAGUAGAACACACGGCCUGUUAUUAGCAUGAGACGGAUAGUAUUUGCAUGAGAUGUUAACAACGGACUCUCGAUUAUGUCUAAUCUAAUCGACAUGAUCUUAUCCUUAGUAGAGCUACUAUUUUCUCAUGUCCAUGGCAUGUACCGAUCGACCUCUACAAGGGCGUCUUCAGAGUAUACUGCUCCAAUACAGCAUUGCCGUGCCUGCGGUUCUAGUAUUAACUAUCUAUUUAGACCCCUUUCAUGUUUGAGGUUGUCACUGGCUGAAAUUUUCAGCAAUUAUAGGUAAAUUUUUUUGGCUUGAGAUUAAAUAUGGACUUAUAUUUCCGACCUGAGGAAGCAUGUGAAAAUGAAACUGUAACACAAACUGUCAUCUUCAGAAAUGAUGAAACAGAAAGAAUAGUUUAUUUAGAAAUGAAGACAUACUGCGGCAUAACAUAAGCAAGCAAUUUUAACAUAACAUAAGCAAGCAAUUAAAGGUAAGUCCCUUUUUUUAUACACAAUUAUAUUAACUCACCAGAAUAUUUGUGCCCCCGUGCAAUUACCUAGUGUUAACAAAACAUACGGACUCCGUCCCAAGUCCAAUUAUUUAUGCUGGAAUCCCUACGCAGUAUAGUCUCAUUUAUAGUAGUCGUGGGAGGAAGCCAGCACCAUACUAACCUCAUUGCCUGUGCAAACCAGCCUCAUUGACCCCCAAGACAAACACCCAGCUCCACAAAACACACAGGCUGUCCAAUCCAUCUCCCUCCAUGGAGCCGGGAUCCACACAAGAUGGAGCUGUUAACAUGACGAGGGCAAUGGAGGCUUUGUCUCCUUGGUUGAACCACCCAAGGAGGACGGUCGUCCAGGUUGAAGUUCUGGUGGUAAUGGCCACAGCUCUGCUAUGCUGCUUCUCCAGCUUAUCUUGGGCUCCUGCAAGCGGCGGUGGCAUCAUUCCUUCGUCAAAUGUGCCCUGAGCAUGUGUACAACACUUGCAUUCCCUCUCGUCCUUGUUAGAGUUAUAAUAUAAGUCAUGUAUACCCCUUUGUAUUUAUCCCGUAGUAUAAGGGGUUUCCUGCAUAUGUACCACACCUGUACAUGUAUAUAUAUCGGCCUAUGGCCUCAUGGGAAUACAAGUUGCUUAUUCCUAACAUGGUAUUAGAGCUUUAGGUCUUUUUUUCGCACGCGCAACUCGUGCUUCGAUCCACUCCUGCCGUCGCCGCGUUCUCCCUUCGCUCGGCGUCGCUGCUCCAUCUCCUCCCGCCAGGCGCCUCUCCUCCUCGAUCGCCGUAGGGAGGCCCCCGAUCGCGCCCAGCUGGUUCCGCUCGGCGGUCGUCUCCUCUCCCGCCAGGACUCCGCCGCUCCCGCGCUCAGGCGCUCCCGCCGCCCCCGCGUUCAGGCGCCGCUCCUGCCUGGCAGCUCCCGCCGCCCGCCAGGUGCCCGCUGCUCCCUCCGUUCCCGCGCUCCAGUGCCUGGGCUCCGCCCCUCUCGCCUGGACUUCGCAUCCCCUUCCCGCGGCCGCCGAUCUCUGCUCAGAUCGAGCAUCUCGAUUGGAAGGUCUGAUCUCUGCUAAAAAAAAUGUCUGCUGCAUCGGGCUAUGUUGCUGUCCCUCGCUACCCGGUGAUUCCUGACGGAGUUUUCAGUGCUUGCUCUACUGAUCCCGUCUCGCACAUGUGCCUUUCUUCCGCGCUUGGUGCUCGUUCGUCUGUGCUAUCGUCCCCUGUGGCGACUCUCGCACGUGGAUCAAAAUGCCUUCGCUGCCUUUAUCCGUCCGAAAGCUUAUCCAAGUGAAGAGAAUUGUAAGAAGUAGAACACACGACCUGUUAUCAGCAGGAGAGACGGAUGGUAUUUGCAUGAGAUGUUAACAACGGGCUCUCGAUUAUGUCUAAUCUAAUCGACAUGAUCUUAUUGUUGGUAGAGCUACUAUUUUCUCAUGUCCAUGGCAUGUACCGAUCGACCUCUACAAGGGUGUCUUCAGAGUAUACUACUUCAAUAUAGCAUUGCCGUGCCUGCGGUUCUAGUUUUAACUAUCUAUUUAGACCCCUUUCAUGUUUGAGGUUCUCAUCGGCUGAAAUUUUUCAGCAAUUAAAACUAAAAAUAUUUGAGGGAUUAAAUGGACUUAUAUUUCCUGUUAGAUGUGUAUAGUCUCUCUUGCACUUUACCAUACACAUGUAUAUGUAUUGNNNNNNNNNNNNNNNNNNNNNNNNNNNNNNNNNNNNNNNNNNNNNNNNNNNNNNNNNNNNNNNNNNNNNNNNNNNNNNNNNNNNNNNNNNNNNNNNNNNNNNNNNNNNNNNNNNNNNNNNNNNNNNNNNNNNNNNNNNNNNNNNNNNNNNNNNNNNNNNNNNNNNNNNNNNNNNNNNNNNNNNNNNNNNNNNNNNNNNNNNNNNNNNNNNNNNNNNNNNNNNNNNNNNNNNNNNNNNNNNNNNNNNNNNNNNNNNNNNNNNNNNNNNNNNNNCUACAACAACUAGGCUCACCUAUGUGCACCAACAACUUAUGCUAAGCAAGAUAAACAACUAGGUGAUAGCAAGAUAUAUAACAAGAAACAAUAUGGCUAUCACAAAGUAAAGUGCAUAAGUAAAGGGCUCGGGUAAGAGAUAACCGAGGCACGCGGAGACGAUGAUGUAUCCCGAAGUUCACACCCUUGCGGAUGCUAAUCUCCGUUUGGAGCGGUGUGGAGGCAAAAUGCUCCCCAAGAAGCCACUAGGGCCACCGUAAUCUCCUCACGCCCUCGCACAAUGCAAGAUGCCGUGAUUCCACUAAGGGACCCUUGAGGGCGGUCACCGAACGCAUACAAAUGGCAACCCUUGGGGGCGGUCACCGAACCCGUACACUUUGGCAACCCUUGGGGGCGGUCACCGGAACCCGUCAAAUUGCUCGGGGCGAUCUCCACAACCUAAUUGGAGACCCCGACGCUUGCCCGGAGCUUUACACCACAAUGAUUGAGCUCCGAACACCACCAACCGUCUAGGGCGCCCAAGCACCCAAGAGGAACAAGCUCAAGGGUACCAAGCACCCAAGAGUAAUAAGCUUCUCAACUUGUAACUUCCACGUAUCACCGUGGAGAACUCAAACCGAUGCACCAAAUGCAAUGGCAAGGGCACACGGAGUGCCCAAGUCCUUCUCUCUCAAAUCCCACCGAAGCAACUAAUGCUAGGGAGGAAAAUGAGAGGAAGAACAAGAAGGAGAACACCAAGAACUCCAAGAUCUAGAUCCAAUGGGUUCCCCUCACAUAGAGGAGAAAGUGAUUGGUGGAAAUGUGGAUCUAGAUCUCCUCUUUCUUUUCCCUCAAAAACUAGCAAGAAUCCAUGGAGGGAUUGAGAGUUAGCAAACUCGAAGAAGGUCAAUAAUGGGGGAAGAACACGAGCUCAAAGGAUAAGGUUCAUUGGGGAAGAAGACCUCCAUAUAUAGUGGGGGAACAAUCCAACCGUUACCCCCCACACCAGCCCCGCAGAGAGCGGUACUACCGCUUGGCCAGCGGUACUACCGCUCCCCCUCGCAGUACUGCCGCUGGGCCCGGAGCGGUACUACCGCGGUGGCAGGGCGGUACUACCGCAAACGAGCGGUACUACGGCCCCCACUGCCGCGGCUAGUACCGUAGAACCCGACACGAAAAAAGACCCCUCGAAUCGAGGCGGUACUAGUACGAGACCGCAGCGGUACUACGGCUGGGGCUACCAGCGGUACUACCGCUUGUAGCACCCAAGAGAUACUACCGCUCCGGCCCGCGGUACUACCGCCGGGACCAAAACUGCCAUAACUUCUGCAUAUGAGCUCCGAAUUGAGCAAACUCAAGCUUGUUGGAAAGAGGAAGGCGAGUAGUAUCAAAACAGCGACUGGUUAUAGUAAGAAGAGGCAGGGGAGGUAUGCCAACAAAUAGAGGAGUGAAACCUCCAACCGAAAAGAACCGGCAUAACCUCCAACAUCGAAAACAUCAUAGAAGAUGCGAGUGAACUCCGUUUUCGAUGAACUCGAGCUUGUCAUCAAGAUGACCAUAAGCUCCAAAACUCAUAAAGAGAAGAACCAAACAAGAACCAAUAAAGAUGAUGCAAGGAUGCAAUGGUUUGAGCUCUCUAUGAACGAUACGAUCAAGCUACUCAUCGAGAGCCCCCCUUGAUAGUACGACAAUCGAUCCUAUAACCCGGUCUCCCAACUACCAUCAUGAGACCGGUAAAAUAGAAAACCUAUCAAGAGCAAAUCUUUGCCUUGCACAUGGUCCACCUGAGCUAGAUGAUGACGAUCUUGACUCCCUCAAGUUGGACCACCUUUCUUGGUUGCGUUGGCUCGAUGAAGACUAGUUGAUUGCUCCCCAUGCUCCACUAUGGGUGAGCCACUCUUCCGCACAUCUUCACAAGUCCAUUGUCACCACAAUGGACGGCAAGCUUCAAGCAUUUGAUCUCUUCAUGAUGCUUCACUUGAACUUGCACACCGCAACAUCUUCACAAGUCCAUUGUCACCACAAUGGACGGCAAGCUUCAAGCAUUUGAUCUCUUCAUGAUGCUUCACUUGAACUUGCACACCGCAACAUCUUCACAAGUUCAUUGUCACCACAAUGGACGGCAAGCUUCAAGCAUUUGAUCUCUUCAUGAUGCUUCACUUGAACUUGCACACCGCAACCUAACCCCACAAAGAACUCUCACGAAGAUCAUGGGUUAGUACACAAAGCGUAAUUGACAAUGCUUACCACACCAUGGGAUCGCUUGAUCCCUCUCGGUACAUCUUCUACGCUUUGUGAGUUGAUCAAGUUGAUUCACUCUUGACUUAGUCUUGAUCAACCAUGAAUCUUUUCAACUCUCUUCAUUUGGAUGAUGUCUUGAAGAUAUACAUGAAUGAUCACACAAUCUUCUUCUCCAAGACAUGCUUGCAAUAAGCUCAACUCUCACAUGACCAAUCUUUGGAUAAUUUCUUAAUAACACCUUGAUCAUCACAUAAACUCCUUGAAACCAACACAUGAACUUCAAGAAAUGCCUAUGGACAAAUUCUUCAAAUAUAACUCAAGGCAAUCAUUAGUCCAUAGAGAUUGUCAUCAAUUACCAAAACCAAACAUGGGGGCACCGCAUGUUCUUUCACCUUGGCCCUCCUGUGAAUGUAGUUGCCCGUUCCUAACAUGGUAUCAGAUGCUUAGGUUCCUCUCCCGCUCCCGCACGCUCGCAGCUCCGUGCCUCGCUCCCCCGUCGCCGGCCUCCCUCUACCUCGUCGCCGGCGGCGGCCACCUCCUCCCUCGCCCCCGGCUCUCUUCCUCCCGCCGCCACGCCGUCUCGCCCCGGCCUGCGCUGCCCCGAGCUCGGCCGGGGCCUGCCGUCGCUGUCCCGCGCCGCCCCAAGCGCGGNNNNNNNNNNNNNNNNNNNNNNNNNNNNNNNNNNNNNNNNNNNNNNNNNNNNNNNNNNNNNNNNNNNNNNNNNNNNNNNNNNNNNNNNNNNNNNNNNNNNNNNNNNNNNNNNNNNNNNNNNNNNNNNNNNNNNNNNNNNNNNNNNNNNNNNNNNNNNNNNNNNNNNNNNNNNNNNNNNNNNNNNNNNNNNNNNNNNNNNNNNNNNNNNNNNNNNNNNNNNNNNNNNNNNNNNNNNNNNNNNNNNNNNNNNNNNNNNNNNNNNNNNNNNNNNNNNNNNNNNNNNNNNNNNNNNNNNNNNNNNNNNNNNNNNNNNNNNNNNNNNNNNGGCCGGCAGCCACCUCCCCGCGCCCGGCCGCGACCUCCCUGCGCCCUGCCGCCCCUGGCCGCCUCCUGCUGCAGCCGGUGCUGCUCAGGGCCGGCCCCUCCCACGCUCGCCCUCCCCCCGCUUCCUCCAUCGGGGCUGGAUCGAGCCAGCGCGAGCCCGAUCCCGAUCUGGAUCGGGGUCUCCUGUAGCAGUCUACUGUAGCAGUUGACAAAAAAAAGAGCUCCUCAUGUCUUCUUCGGGCUAUGUCGCCGUUCCUCGGUGCUCGGUGAUCUUCGAUGGCACCAACUAUGCCGAGUUUGCGGGCUUUGUGAGUAUCCACAUGCGCGGUCUCCUUCUGUGGGGUGUUCUCUCUGGCGAGGUCCCCUGUCCGCCUUGCCCUGUUGCUCCAGUGGCUCCUACCCCGCCAGCACCGCCGGUUCUUGCUGCUGAUGCUUCUCAGGCUGAUCCUGAUGCCGCCAAGGCUCUCGAUGAUACUACAGUUGAUGCCUAUGAUCAGCAGAUGUCAGCCUAUUCGGAUGCCCUUUCUGCCUAUCGUGAUGAUCUGUCUGCUUACACUCAGUGGUGCAAUGAUGAUGCUCGUGCUGCUGCUGUUCUUACUGCGAGUGUCCUUCCUCAGUUCGCCUCGGAGUUCAUGGGACUUGGCACAGUUGCAGCGAUGUGGUCUUAUCUCUGUCAGCGCUAUCAGCCCUCUAGUGAUGCUCUCUACCUAUCUGUGGUGCGUCAGGAGCAUGCACUCCAGCAAGGUGAUUCCUCUGUUGAUGAGUUCUAUUCACAGUGCUCUGCCAUCUGGCGUCAGCUUGACUCUCUUCGGACUGUCGUUUGUGGAACUUGCCGUUGUUGUCAGACUACACGGUCCGAUUUGGAGUUUCAGCGGGUUCACGAGUUCUUAUCUCGUCUUCGCUCUGAGUUCGAGCCUCGCCGUGCUCACCAGCUCGCUCGUGGUCGUGUUACUAUCUUGGAGGUACUUGCUGAGCUUCGUGCUGAAGAGACCCGCCUACGCUCUGCUGGGUUACUUGUGGUUCCAUCAGUGUUGGCCGCCCGAGCUCCUAUGCCACCUGCUCGCCUCACCGCUCCACCGCUCCUGCCUACUCCUUCAGGGGGGUGGGUCGUCCUUCUUAUGCUGAGAGGGGCCGAUCGCGCCGUGACACCUUCUGUGGCUACUGCUCUCGGCCAGGUCACCCAGAGUCUGAUUGCCGUGAGAAGAAGCGAGACCAGAGGCGCUCCUCUUCCAGUGGGACUCCUGGAUCCUCCUCGACCCGUCACUCACUGACCAGGACAUUAUGAGGCUCAAGCGUCUCUUAGCUUCCUCAGGCUCUUCGUCGACCGGUUCCGCUGCUGCUGUGACUGCAGCCACUGCUCCACCACCACAGGCAUCUACACAGUCAGGUACAUCUUCAUGGGUUCUGGAUUCUGGAGCCUCUUUUCAUAUGUCUUCUGAUUCUUCCGUGCUGUCUUCUCUCCGACCUCUUGAUUCGCCUGUUAAUGUUCUUACCGCUGAUGGCACACCUCUUCCUGUUGCUAGCCGUGGUCUUCUUUCCACUCCAUCUUUUUCAGUUCCUAGUGUUUCACAUGUUCCUCGCCUCACCAUGAAUCUUUUUUCCGCUGCCCAACUUACUGAUUCUGGUUGUCGUGUCAUUCUUGAUACCGACUCUUGCUCCAUCCAGGAUCGUCGCACCAAGGCUUUGAUUGGUGCUGGCCCCCGGCGCCGCGAGUCAGAGGGCCUUUGGGAGGUUGACUGGCUUUGUGUUCCUUCCGCUGCCACCACUUCAGCCAGCUCCCAUGCUCUUGCUGCCUCUUCGUCUGCGUCCUUCCAGCAGUGGCAUCAUCGCCUUGGUCACAUAUGUGGCUCUUGCUUGUCUUCUUUAGUUCGUUAGGGCCUCUUAGGGUCUGUAUCUGGAGAUGUUUCUUUACAUUGUAAUGGCUGCAGACUUGGCAAACAGACCCAGUUACCUUAUCCUACCAGUGAGUCGGUAUCUCAGCGUCCUUUUGACUUAGUUCAUUCUGAUGUAUGGGGUCCUGCUCCCUUUGAUUCGAAAGGUGGUCACCGCUACUAUAUCUUGUUUAUUGAUGAUUUCUCUCGCUACACUUGGCUCUACUUUAUGAAAUCUCGUAGCGAGGUUCUCUCUAUAUACAAACGUUUUGCUGCCAUGGUUCACACCCAGUUUUCCACGCCCAUUCGUACUUUUCGUGCUAACUCCGCUGGUGAGUUUAUCUCCCAGCUGUUGCGUGGUUUUCUUGCAGAACAGGGUACUCUUGCCCAGUUCUCAUGUCCUGGUGCACAUGCUCAGAAUGGCGUUGCCGAACGUAAGCAUUGUCAUCUACUUGAGACGGCUCGUGCUCUGAUGAUUGCCGCUUCUCUCCCACCCCAUUUUUGGGCUGAGGCUGUUUCUGCAUCCACCUAUCUCAUCAACAUACAGCCAUCGACUGCUCUGCAGGGUGGUAUUCCUAUGGAGUGUCUCACUGGUCGCUCUCCUGACUACUCAGCUCUUCGUAUGUUCGGAUGUGUGUGCUAUGUCCUUCUUGCCCCGCGAGAACGCACCAAACUGACUGCUCAGUCGGUUGAGUAUGUUUUUCUUGGCUACAGUGAUGAGCACAAGGGCUAUCGCUGCUGGGAUCCUGUUGGUCGUCGUUUGCGCAUCUCGCGUGAUGUGACCUUUGACGAGUCUCGCUCUUACUACCCACGUCCUUCUACCUCGAGCUUCUCCGUGGACGAUCUUUCUUUUCUUCUUCUCCCUGAUACACCAUGCUAUGUGCCUCCUCAUGUUUUUCCUCCUCCGCCUGCACCUCUCCUUCCUUCUCCUUCACCACCGACACCAUCUUCCUCAUCCUCCUCCUCCAACUCUCCACCAUCAUCUCCAGUACGUCGCCCCCUCUCACCAUUUCCUCUUCACUAUACUCGUCGCCCUCGUUCUGAGGAUGUUUCCCCUGAUGCGCCUUCCACCUCUGGUGCACCUCCUUUCACGCCUCCCCCGGUUCAUAACCUCCGUGCUCGGCCUCGCCCCCCGCCUGAUCGCUACUCUCCUGAUCAGUACGGUCUCUCUGUUAUUGCUGAGCCCACUUCCUAUCGGACUGCCAUGACUCAGCCUGAAUGACAGCUUGCGAUGGCCGAAGAGCUUGCUGCCCUUGAGCGCUCUGGCACAUGGGAUCUGGUUUCCCUCCCUUCCGGUGUCCGUCCCAUCACCUGCAAGUGGGUCUACAAGAUUAAGACUCGCUCUAAUGGUUCUCUUGAGCGCUACAAAGCGCGCCUUGUGGCCCGUGGUUUCAGCAGGAGCAGGGACGCGAUUAUGAUGAGACAUUCGCUCCUGUGGCCCACAUGACCACUGUUCGCACUCUUCUUGCUGUUGCUUCUAUUCGUCAUUGGUCUAUCUCUCAACUUGAUGUUCAGAACGUUUUUCUUAAUGGCGAGUUGCGUGAGGAGGUUUAUAUGCAGCCACCACCGGGGUACUAUGCUCCUGAUGGUUUGGUCUGUCGACUUCGCCGCUCCCUCUAUGGUCUUAAACAGGCCCCUCGUGCCUGAGCGCUUCGCCUCUGUGGUGACUGCCGCUGGCUUCUUGCCCAAUGAUCAUGAUCCUGCGUUGUUUGUUCACACGUCUCCUCGUGGUCGGACUCUGCUCCUUCUCUAUGUUGAUGACAUGAUCAUCACUGGUGACGACUCUAACUACAUAGCCUUUGUUAAGGCUCGCCUUCGCGACCAGUUCCUCAUGACUGAUCUUGGUCCACUUCGCUAUUUUCUUGGGAUUGAGAUCUCCUCGACCUCUGAUGGCUUCUACAUCUCCCAAGAAAAAUAUAUUCAGGAUCUUCUUGCUCGCGCUGCUCUCGGUGAUGAGCGCACAGUUGUGACUCCUAUGGAACUCAACGUUCAGCUUCGUGCUUCUGAUGGUGACCCUCUCCCUAACCCCACUCGCUAUCGUCACCUUGUUGGCAGUCUUGUCUAUCUUGCUGUUACGCGUCCUAAUAUCUCCUAUCCUGUUCAUAUCCCGAGUCAGUUCGUUUCAGCCCCCACCUCUGUCCACUAUAGUCAUCUCCUCCGUGUUCUACGAUAUCUUCGUGGCACGCCCUCUCAGCGCCUUUUCUUUCCCUGCUCCAGCUCUCUUGAGCUCCAGGCCUACUCUGAUGCUACCUGGGCUAGUGAUCCCUCUGAUCGACGCUCGCUGUCUGCUUAUUGUGUCUUUCUUGGUGGCUCUCUUAUUGCCUGGAAGACAAAGAAACAGACUGCCGUUUCUCGCUCGAGUACAGAGGCUGAGUUGCGAGCCAUGGCUAUGCUGACGGCUGAGGUGAUCUGGUUACGGUGGUUACUUGAGGACUUUGGUGUGUCUGCUAGUACCUCGACUCCCUUAUUGUCAGACAGUACUGGUGCUAUCAGUAUUGCGCGUGACCCGGUGAAGCAUGAGCUCACCAAGCACAUCGGUGUGGAUGCCCACUUUGUGCGUGCUGCUGUGCAGGAUCAGACUCUCGCUCUUCACUAUGUGCCCUCUGAGUUACAGUUGGCGGACUUCUUCACGAAGGCACAGACUCAAGCGCAGCAUAGUUUUCUUCUCUCCAAACUCAGUGUUGUUGAUCCACCAUGAGUUUGAGGGAGGGUGUUAGAUGUGUAUAGUCUCUCUUGCACUUUACCAUACACAUGUAUAUGUACUGGCCCUUGGCCCUCCUGUGAAUGUAGUUGCCCAUUCCUAACAUUUCCGACCUGAGGAAGAAUGUGAAAACGAAACUGUAACACAAAAUGUCAUCUUCAGAAACGAUGAACAGAAACAACAGUUUUUUAGAAAUGAACACAUACGGUGGCAUAACAUAAGCAAGCAACUUUAACAUAACAUAAGCAAGCAAUUAAAGGUAAGUCCUUUUUUAUACACAAUUAUAUUAACUCGCUAGAAUAUUUGUGCCCCCGUGCAAUUGCCUAGUGUUAACAAAACAUACGGAUUCCUCCGUCCCAAGUCCAAUUAUUUAUGCUGGAAUCCCUACGCGGUAUAGUCUCAUUUAUAGUAGUCAUUGGAGGAAGCCAACACCAUAUAUAGUAACCUCAUUGCCUGUGCAAACCAGCCUCAUUGACCCCCAAGACAAACACCCAGCUCCACAAGAGCAAAACACACACGCACACACACAGGCCUCCCCAUCCAUCUCCCUCCAUGGAGCCGGGAUCCACACAAGAUGGAGCUGUUAACAUGACGAGGGCAAUGGAGGCUUUGUCUCCUUGGUUGAACCACCCAAGGAGGACGGUCGUCCAGGUUGAAGUUCUGGUGGUAAUGGCCACGGCUCUGCUGCUUCUCCAGCUCAUAUUGGGCUCUUGCAAGCGGCGGUGGCAUCAUUCCUUCGUGAAAGGUGCCCUGAGCAUGUGUACAACACUUGCAUUCCCUCUCGUCCUCUUCACAUUGGGUAUGAUGGACUCCUUCCCAAUCAAGAGUUCCUCGUAUCCCGUCUGGGCUGCUGUUCUCUUGAUGGCUUCAGUGGGCCCGACGGUCGUCCAGAAAUAUGAAUUCUAUGGCAGCUUUGGCAAAAAGUACAUACAGGUUUUUGUCGAGACCUGUAAAUAUUGUUUCUAUGCAUAUAUGAUAUCUAGGCUAUCAAAUUCAAGUUCACCUCGAAGCUUUCUAAAGUGGCAUGGCAGUUCAAGUUCCUAGUGUCUCCUGUCUUUCUGCACUCGUUUUAUGUACAACGUGUUUGGAGUCCCCGGGGUUAAUAUUGCUGGGGUACUGCAAGAAUUAUUGUCACACACUAGUAGCAGAUAGGAUGGAGAAACAUGCAAAUGAUCAUCCAUGUGACCCGGACUCUGAGAGCAUGAAGGGCUACAAUUAUGUAGUCUUGGAGAGGCCCAUUUUUAUCGCUGACCAUUUGCUGUGGAAGCAGGAUCACCAUGGCAACUCAGAUCGAUCCAUUACCAUUGACCAAAUAUGGGAUUGUUGUGGCAACUCAGCUCAUGGCAAAGCAUUGAAAGACUUAUGCCUGUCAUAUGCCUUGUGUCGGCAACUCUUGAAUCGCCGCUACUUCGGGGAUAUCUGUCCCGAAGCCACUGUUCUUAGAGGCCACGAUUUCGUCUUCACAAAAUUGUUGCCAUCUGAAGGGGAUUUCAGAAGAGCAUUCAGAAUUAUUGAGGUAGAGUUGGGUCUUUGCUAUGAUUUCUUCUUCACAAAGUAUCACUAUACCUUUCUAUCGAUGGAAUCAUGGCUACCACUCAUUCCGUUUUUGGUUUUGCUCAAGAUAAUUCUCAUUUUUACGGUUGGAGUGUUUGCCUUCAGAAAAUCACUGGUUAUUGAGACACCAAAACCUAUCAUAGAAGUAAACAGUACAGAUGCUGAUUACAUUAUUACUAUACUAGUUCUUGGCAUAGUCCUCGUAGUGGAACUAGUGCAGGCAGCAUUUUAUCUGGCUUCAGAUUUGGUCCAGGUAUCACUAGCCUGCAGGUAUGUCAAGAAAAACUGCAAUGCAGCCAAUGCAUUAAUUGGAAGAGUAAUUGGUUUUCUUAGAAAGGUUAUAAUUUUUGGGGCAUUGAGAAAUAAGAUCAACCAGGCCUCAAUUAUUAUCCAAUCCGUAGAACCAGUAGAGAUUUCUGAUGCAGUGAAGGCAGCUAUUGCUAGGGGGCUCAUAAGAACUGAUGGCAAGCUAACCAAUGGAGAAGCAUUACUAAGGACGAAUCAAAUGUUUGAUAAGUGUUAUUGGACAUUCAAGGAUCACUCUCAGUUCGAAAUCAUGUUCAUCUGGCAUAUCACAACUGAAUAUUGUGAUAUUUCUGAUGAUCAGACAGAUGGGAUUACUCGAGAUAAUGACCGAGGUGUUGCAGUUAAUUUGUCUAGAUACUGUGCAUACUUGAUUGCAGCUGUCCCAGAACUGCUUCCGUACCACGAGGUGGAUACAAGAGAGUUGAAAGCAAAGGUGCUGAAAGAACGUAAACAGCUUUUUGGAUCCUAUAAACAUCCUGAGAUUUACGAUAUAAAGAAGAAGUUAGAAGAGAUAGAAGAGGGUGAUGACCCUGUGACAGUCUUCAAGAAAGGCGUGCAGCUCGGCAAGCAGCUCGCGAGCAUGCCGGAUGGGCUCCAGCGCUGGAAGGUGAUGGGGGAUUUCUGGGCCGAGACAAUCAUCUAUGUCGCGCCCUCGCACUCCACCGCCAAGCAACACAUGCAACAUCUUGAGAAUGGUGGGGAGUUCCUCACCCACAUCUGGGCUCUGCUUUCUCAUGCUGGCAUCCUGAACCUUAACAGGGACAAGGAUCAGGGGGCACAGGAAGAGCCUGUAUCUGUAUGAUUCAUGUCGACAGAGGAGCAGCCUCCGUCGCCCCCCUUUCGCCACAAGCUGGUUACGUUGUGAUUUCCCAUCAGUGUUUCUGUUUCAUGUGUUAGCACUUCAUAUGUUUGUACUAUGAAUAAUUGAUGCUCUGUGCGUCUCCCGUGCAUACCGUGGGUCUCACCGUGCUUACUAUAUGUAUUUCAGAGAUGUAUUUCCCCACACUGUAGACUGUACCUUGUGUUCUUAGAACUGAAAAUUGAUUUGGCCAUCAUUUGGAAAAGGAAUAUUUAUCCAGGAUGCACUACCUCUGUUUCUAAAUGUAAGAUGUUUUGGCAGUUCAAAUUGAGCUGCCGAAGCGUCUUAUAUUUAGGAACAGAGGAUGCACUACAUUGCCGUGCAUUGGCACUCUUCUGUUCUUCAGUAUGUAUGUCUUGGAGUUCACAAGGGUCAGAUAAUUCAGAUUCUCACAGUAAUUCAGACUUCAGUGUAUCUAGUACAGGCUCUGCACUUACCCGAGUGCGAGUGAGUUGCCUCCUCACCCUUGCGCUUGGUUUCUGCGGGUGUCACCGGAGCGACGCCGCAUGCUAGAUCCGCCUCGGUCUCCGGUGGCCGCCGGCCGCUCUCCGGCUUGCCGCGCCAAAGAACGGAACGGUAUUCUGGAACUAGAAGGUGGGGCGAGGGAGGAGAUUGCGGAUGGAUCUCGCCGACCGCGGGAAGGACCGCCGCGGAGGUGAGCUCGCUCGGUUACUCCGGUGGCCGGCCUGCGAUCUGGAGGUCGGAAAGACAGG
rnacentral:lncRNA from 1 species